UAAACGGCCGCGGUAGCCUAACCGUGCAAAGGUAGCGUAAUUCCUUGCCUUCUAACUAAAGGCCAGUCAAUGGUCCCCCGUGGGUUAAGCUGUCUCUUGUGCAGAUACUGGAAAUUAUCUUUUAAGUGAAAAGACUUAAAUAAAAUUGAAUGACGAGAAGACCCCGUAGAGUUUUACUAAAAGUAAAUGCUACUCCAACCUAGUAACUUGUUACUUAGUUUAAUUGGGGCAAUUAGAGAAAAAAAGAAACUUCUCCUAGCAAAAAACUUUCCUGGUAUGAAGCCCUAAUAAAUAAAUUGAGGAAAAACUACCUUGGGGAUAACAGCACAAUUUUACUGGAGAGUACACAUUAAUAGUAAAGAUUGUGACCUCGAUGUUGGAUCAAAGUUCCCUAUAGAUAAGCAGCAGUCUUAGCGGGCGGGUCUGUUCGACCUUUAAACCUUUAC
rnacentral:rRNA from 1 species